rnacentral:rRNA from 1 species
CCCUUAGAUGUUCUGGGCUGCACGCGCGCUACACUGAUGCACCCAACGGGUUUACGACCUUGCCUGGAAAGGUUGGGUAAUCCUACAAAAAUGCGUCGUGGUGGGGACAGAUUACUGCAAUAACUAAUCUUCAACGAGGAAUUCCUAGUAAGCGCGAGUCAUCAGCUCGUGCUGAUUACCUCCCUGCCCUUUGUACACACCGCCCGUCGCUCCUACCGAUUGAGUGGUCCGGUGAGGCUUUGGGAUCUGAGCGGAAAGAGCGUUUCGCUGUUUCUGCUCGGAAAACUCAGUCGAACCUUAUCAUUUAGAGGAAGGAGAAGUCGUAACA